rnacentral:lncRNA from 1 species
UCGCCACUUGGAAUAUUUUAGUUGGUGUUCCAAGUCACCGGUUUAUUUUAAAUCCCAAAUAGAGGAAAUUUCGACUUUCCUUUUGAAGUCUGCGAACCAGAAAUUCUAAAUAAGGAAUUCUGUUAACGUGAGAGAAGGUGUUAGGCACCCCCGGAUUCCGUGGUUCUAGCACGGCCGCUUAAACUAUUAUAAUUGGCCUGUUAUCUGAUUUUAAUACAUGUUUUAACCUAUGGUUCAAUUUUAACUUUAUAACCGCUUUUACUUAAUUAUCUUUUAGGGAAGAUUCAACGUCAUCUAAAACACGUCUUGAACCACGUCACAUAAAUGCACCCGCGGUCCACGACAUAUUUUAUCUAACGUUGUUGAGAUUUGGAUUUGGGUCACAUAAAUGCAAACCCGAGUUUAGGAGAGUAAAUUAAGUUAUGCGCCUGGUUUUUCGAAUUUGCGAGGGUCAUGAAAAAUUCAACUAAAUGGCACGCCUCGAUUUCUAAGGAUUUAAAAUUAAUAAAAAUGAGGGCCAUGCGUUUUGAGAUUUUAUUUGGCAUGACACACCUCAAUUCCAAUUUUAAAGAAAAAGCUCAAACUAAACUUUUGAGAGCCAUAAACUAUGUUUCAACUAAUACGGCACGCCUCCAAUCUAAUUGGUGAAAUCUAAUUAGUUAAACACCAAGGGAAUUGGGAUUUUGAUCAAAACUAAAUUAAAAGGGGCUUGGGUCCUCACAAACAAUUAACGGAAGAUUUGGAUUCAACAAAGACGAAAUAUGUCCAAAUCUCAUUGCGAGUGCCUUCAUGCUUGGGCCCAAAAUGAGCCCAAGUCUUAAUGAAAAAAAUGAACGUCCAAAGACAUAGGCCAUGCAAUUGAAACUGAAAUUGAAACUUUUCAUUAACUGGGCCAACAAUAGGCCCAACUUUUACAACCAAACAAUUGUGCAAAAUUAUUAAUUGCAAAUCAAACAAAACUAUAUGAAACAUGAAAUGGAACUGACAUUCUGCUUCUGAACUUUUAACUUUUUUAAGCAAAAGUCAACUAGAUAGAUAUUAUAAAAUUUAAAAAUACCAAUCCCAACUUAAACAUGCUCAUGAGCAAACCAAUAAUCUUAGACCAUUUUCCUUAUUCAUAAUAACCGUAUACCUAUCACAACACGGAAUGUCUUUCACAACUGACAAACUCAAGGCUCGAAACUCUUGCAAGAUUUAAACCCUCAUUUCACAAGAUAUUGUACACUAAACUGAUUAUGCAAAAAUCUCACACAAGACUCAUAAGUAAAUUAAACUACUCUUAACAUGUGUUCGUGAUCCUAUAUCACAAAAAGACUUUAUUUCCCAACAAAACUAUCAUAGCUAUAUUAGAACACCUCACAGUACCCUUCAAAUAACAAACUACACCAGUCAUCUUGUAAGUUCAACAUGAAAUCUACACCAAGGAUAGAUGCUGACUUUCAACAGAAUAAAGCGAGUCAUGUAACUGGAAUAAACCUUCUGUUGUAGUAUCUGUUCAGUCCCAAAUUAAUAUAAGAAUACAAAACUUCCCUAUCCAAACCAAAAAUUAAUUGAAAGGUACAGUGAACCAGGCUGUUAAAACAUCAUAUAAUGAGGAAAUAUAAACUGAAUUCAUAGCUAAAGUUGAGGACAUGCUUCAAAUUCUACUUUUAUUUCAUGCUUCAAAUCUAACUUCAACAUUUAGUAGAGCUUGGGAAUAGGUACCUGAAUACAGCCAAACAAGAACAGAGCGAAGUCUGAGAUUAGGAGGAAACAACAGCAAGAGCUCAAACAAAAAAAAGAAGCAGCAGCAGAAUCAGCUAAAAACCCCAGCAAUGAAGCAAUACCCCCAAACAACAAAACUCAAACCAAACUUUUAAAGAUCCAAAACUCAAUCUAUUUCAACCCAGGUGCAAAAUUUGGACAUUUCCAGUCAUUUUUACUAAUAAUGAAGAUCAGAAACCAAAAGAACCAAGCAAAAUUUUGAGCAGUUUUCAACAAAGAAAUGCAGGGAAUUUAAUGUUAAAAAAAACUGAGCCGUUUCAGCUUUUCAUAAUUUUUAUCUCUAAAGUCUGACUUGUUCA